rnacentral:misc_RNA from 1 species
AACGCACAUUGCGCCUUCUGGUAUUCCGGGAGGCAUGCCUGUCCGAACGUCAUCAAGCCCCUCACUUGGAGCUGUUUGUUCUCAAACUGCUUCAUUGGUGGUACUUGGAGGAUGAUUGGUUGCUAUGCAUCCAGCCACCUUUGAAAUAUACUGGUUGACCUUCCGGUCUGUAAUUGUGAUAAGCAUACUACAAUAGCAGAUCUGGUAGAUGUCUUGCCAUUAAUCUAGUGCUCUCCACUGCACUGCAUACCAUCUUUUGACUUCGGAUCAGGUAGGGAUACCCGCUGAACUUAA